UCGCCGCGGGGGCUGCUGGUGGCGGUGGAAGCAGUCACCUCGAUCAUUCCGUAACGAGCGUCAGCACGUAGCUGUCCCACCACCACCACCACCACCGGCUGGUAGGUGCUAUAUAUCUGGUUCCCGCCCCACUAAGACAGAGUUGUGUUGUUGCACUGGUGGCGCGCGUCGUUGUGCAUGCAUGACGGCGGUGUAUGUUUGUGAUUGUCGUAUGCGAGAGAUGCUUCACGAUAGUGCACGGUAGCCCGGUUGCGUUUCCGCUUGUGCCGCCGUCAGUGCUACUGGCGAGGACUGUCUUCCGACCGACGGCUCUGAGGCAAGCCCGGCCGUACGGUGCUCGCAGUGGCGAAUAAGUGUGCCUGACAUAGCGGUCGGUCGCCCUCGUUCCGAACAGGUGGUGCUGGCGCAGUAUCGCGGCCGCCGCCGGCGUGGUUGUGCUGCCGAGUCUCUCGAGGUGCCGGAGUGUGCGCGCUCCCGCUACAGCGCGGGUGAAGUAGAUACGGUCGCUUGUAAGCCGCGCAGUCACUCCUCAACUCGAAGGUCGGCGUCGGGUAUCGCACCACCAUGCGUGUCCGCAGUAGCGGCGGAAUGGUCCGGCUUCGCGACGUGUACUCCUGCGAAGAUCUGCAGUGAGUCGAGUUACUGGCGCAGCCGUUUUCGCUUCCUCGGUUGUUCCGAGUCGCGCGCUCCGUUCCGGGAGCAACCCCAACUCGUCGUCUUGCCGAGGUGUGAUCUCGAGGAUCGUCUUCUUUGGUGAUGACUCGUCGACUGCGGCGCGGAUUCAGCGGCGCCCCUGACAUGGAAUACCCGUGAUCCGACCUGGUUGUGGUGCCUGCUUGCCUGCCUGCCUUGGGUCGCUGGGCGAGCACCCGUCGUGUGCGCGAUUGGUACCACUUGUGAUUGCCUCGCACUCCUUCUCUUUCGCCCGCGGGUUCUACGCAAUCGAGAGAUAUAUCUGCUGAUUCGCCACAGGAGCAACGCCUUGUGACGCGGUGCCCACCAUGUCGGAGAGCAAAGCGGCCAAGCUAAAUCCUGCUGGUGGCCGGUGGAAGGAGAUGCGUCAUGACGAUCAGCAGCUGACUAACGACCUGUCCGCUUCGUCCGACGACGCGAUGGAGUCGCUAACGGACAACACGUUGACCGUCGGCGCUCCGCCGGCAGCAGCGCACGACGGGGUCGUGAACCCGGCCUUCGGCCACGGCGAGGAAGAGGACGAGCGCAACAACCUGCGCAGGAGCAGUCAGCAGAAGAGCCUCGAGGAGGAGAAGAACGCCGUCAACCAGCAGCAGCAGCAGCCGCAGCCGAACGGCAAGAUCCUCAACCACCACCGGAUCCAUAUUCCGGACGACGCGGUCAUCAACUACGACACGGCGCGCACGCGCAAGUCCCUGCAGCAUCGCAACGGCGACGUGGUCGCGCUGGACGUGUUCGCGGACUCGGCCAAGGCGCAGGAGGCCCUGAUGGGAGGGCUGGCCAACGGCGGCUCCGAGAGCGUGCGGCCGGUCUCUAGUCCCCUGACGAGCAGCAGCACGGCGGCCGCCGGAGACGCCGGCACCAAGAUGUUCGAGGAGUAUUUCAUUCCCGUCAACACGCACAAAAAGUUCCUCCGGGGCGAAAAGCUUUAUUUAACAAAAGAAAAAAGAAAAGUGUGUUCCGGGUGGAAGCGCAUGUUCUUCUGCUGUCUUCUACUCAUGAUCUUAGGCAUCGCUGUUCUAGUGGGAGUGUUAGCAGCAACUGGGUUCCUGCUGAGUGAUUCUAAGUCCUCUCCAAAGUCCGUUCACGUCGAUCCGAGUAGUUCGAGUAUGUAUGCCGGCUCGUCGACGCUAGAGGGUGCGCCGCAGCCAAGAGAAACCAGCCCGCCACCCACCCAACAGUCAUUACCGCCAUCAUCGCCGCCAAUCGUAGUCAUUUCUUCCGCUACCACCAGUCCAACCACGCAACCGACCCGACCUCCAUCGACGACAGUCACCGAGCCUACCGCGACCUCGGUCGCCACCGUCAGCACAAGGGACCAGUCCAUUGCGACGACACUGUCUCCCGUGGUGGUUGAAGUCACGACAGAAAGCGUAACCACGGUGUCGGAUCUGACGUCUACAUUUCACGGCUCCGUCGAGUCUUCAAUCACUACGAGUGUUCCGGUAACGGGUCAAGCCUCGCUCACGACCGUCGACUACAACCAGACAGACGGGACCGACGGUCCCGCUCCCGGCGUUCCAGUCACCAGCGCUCCGUCGACCACAUCUGUCCCGACGACGGCUGUGCCGUCGACGUCGGCCGAGGCCCUGCCGUCUACGGAGACGGCUGUAACGGAGAAAGCGGGUUCCACCGCAGAGACCUCUACCGUCACGCCUCCCGCGUUUGGAGCAACCACCAACGCAGCCACGACUGUGACCGAUGGCCCGACGACGACAGCAGGUACAACCAUGCAAGCACCGUUCACUGCUACUGGCUCCGCGUCCACCACGACUUCUGCAACGGUGACUCCGACAGAGCAGGAGCUGACCACCGUUGGCACGAGUGCGAUUCCCGAGAGGACAGCGACAACACCGGCAGCGGUCGAGACCACGGCCAGAGCCGAAAGCACGACCAGUCUGUAUGAGACGACGGUGGCCUCGCUGACCGAGAGCUCGUUGCCGACAGACGUGGGGACGGCGACGACGACAAGUUCGCCAAGGGAUGAAGAGUCGUCGAUGGUUACGGAGCCCGUUACAGCCGCGAGCACCGAGGAACGUACUCCCACCGGCGGUCUCCCUCUUCCUGGACCAAACGCUGUUGUUGGUGAGAUCACCCUUCCGGAAGAAAUUUUCAGCGAAUCUCUGAACAACAAGUCCUCCAUAGAAGCAAGAGAUCUCUCGAACCAGCUGAAACAAGGGUUAGAAGACAUCCUCAAGGGACUUGGGUACCGCUACGAGACGGUGGACAUUCUGAAGUACAGGAAAGGCAGCGUGGUGGCUUCGUUCGUGGUGGUCGGCGGCGACCUGCCUGCGGCCAAGGUCAAGGUGGCCAUCCGAGACUUCCUGGCCAAGAACAACGGCACGCUCAGGGGACGUCCCGUAGACUCGGCGUCGGUUGUCGCCAAGGACGUGACGAACUGGUGCAAGGUGGCCAACGGGGGUUGCCUCGGCAGCGUAUGCGAGUGGGACUACCUGAGUGGCACCAAAACCUGCAUCUGCCUGCCCGGCACGAGUAGGCUGAAUGAGACCGCGUGCGCGCAGCCAGAAGCACCCGCAGUAGCAACAACUGUAGAUGAAAAUACUGGAAUAACAACCCUUCUGCCAACAAGCGACAUUACAGAAGUCACUUCAGAGCCUACAAUGAGGAAAGUGGAAUGGACAACAACACCCGCGGAAGAGGCAUCAACCACCCCUCGAGAGGCAGCGGUGUCAGAGACAACGACACGAAUGACUGCACCUCCCUUGCCUCUGACGACGACAACGCAGACGCAAGUGCCAACGGACGCAGUAACGACGACUACCGCAUCUGUUACUGAAUUGUCAACGACGCCUGGACAAGAGACAACGACGUCACCCAAGAUUGCAAUACCUCCGGGCACAUUGAUUCUGCUCGCAACAACUGCUUCUCCAACCACGACCGCUGAACCAGUCUCCGAGCCAAGUUCUCCCGAGAUGGCAACGAGCGACGCUACGACAAUUCCGACAACUGAAGGCACAGUGCCGACGACGACGAGCCUUGCCACAGUGCAGGCCACCGAGCACACGACCAGCGCGACCUUGACGACUGAGCCACAGAAGGCGACCGACGUCGAAAGUCUGACGACUCGAGAGAUCCGUCAAUCGACGGUGGCAGCCUUCGUGACUGAAAGUAGCGACGUCACUAACGCAACGGCGAGUAUGGUGACAGACGCCGGAACUACGUUGCAGACCACUGAACAGACUACCAUUGCCGUUGUGUUUGAAGAGACCACUACUUCUGGCAUGGUGACAGGAGGCCCUUUGACAACGGAAGUCGGGGAAUUAACUACCGUGCCCGUGCCGUUAAACGAAACGUCGGUGACUAACGUUCCAACGAACGAAACGACACUCACUUCGUCAGUUUCUGCUGAGAACAGCACGGAAGAGACCACGAUGUCGUCAGUCACCGUUCCAUCCGUCAUGGUGUUCUCAUUAGCGCCUGCAACAGACGUUGACAACGCGACGGAAUCAACGCUUGCGACGACGGGGAACGAAACUUUGGAGGAGACAACGACGACGAUGUCAUCGGUGUACAGGGAAAUCGACGGUGAUGCCAUGAACGGCACCGACAUCGGCGAGUUCAACGCAACCGUCUCGACAGCUUCGACAGAUCCAAUCUUCGUCAACGAAACCCUGCCGUUCAACGUGACGGACUCUCCAAACACUACGCUCUCCCAGGUUGAGACAGUCACGGACGUCUCCAUGACGACCACAAUGGCCAGCGUAAUGAACGAAACAGAGUCGAUGAACGCGACGCUGACGUAUCCAGGUUUCGGCAACGGAUCGUCAACGGAAGAAGUGGACCCCGACUUGAACGUCAGCAACCGCACAUUCGCCAUGGGCAGGAACCUGACCUUCAUGAACAACAACACCCUGUCCGAAGAAGGCGUGGAUGUGGUGAACAGCACCAUGGAUUCGUGGAACAUGACGGCCGACGGCACGUUGCUGAACACUGCAAACAUCACGUUCGGAGAUGUCGACAGUACGAGCAUGAUGACCGAGAGCGACAAUACGACGCACGUUAGCAUGACGACCACCCAAUUCUUCAAUGAAAGCAUGGCAAACUCUACGGAAGAAAUGUUCAGGGCCCACUGUUCUUCCGAGGAAUUUUACUGUCCCGCCGAUGGAAGCCAUACUUGCCUGAAGACCAACCUUCUCUGCGAUCAGUUCGAGGACUGCCCUGGAGCCUUGGACGAACAGAAUUGCACCGACACCUGCGGAGUGAACUUCCAGUGCAAGGACACCUCUUGCGUCAUGGCGUCGGCCAAGUGCGACGGCAUCCGCGACUGCCCGGAAGGCGAAGACGAGCACAACUGCGACAUAGUAAACUCCACGUGCAGCGACCUCGAAGUGAUGUGUCCCGACAGCAGCGCCUGCAUCAAGCCGCUCAGCCUGUGCGACGGCAUCUACAACUGCAGAGACCGCAGCGACGAAAGCGGAUGUGUGGACAAGACUCUGUGCGAGCAAUCGAACAAGUUCUACUGCGGAGACAAGCUCUGCAUUUCCUCCGCUUUGAGGUGCGACGGCCACGAAGACUGCAAGGACGGAGAGGACGAGGUCAACUGCACCUGCGGUGAGAACCAGUUUCAAUGCAUGAACGGAUUCUGCGUAUCGUCUGCAACGGGGUCCGUUCGCUGCAACGGCAUCGCCGAUUGCAUCGAUGGAAGCGACGAGCGUGGCUGCGUGCAAGUGGACAACAACGGAUUGGCGCAGGCGUUCGACGGCGACAUGGGCUCGUGGACGCUCAUGUGCGCGGACAACGCGACGCUUGACCACGGGCACCAAAUUUGCCAGGAGAUGGGAUACAGCGGUGCCCUUUCGAUAAGGACGGUGAGGGUCGAAGCCAACGUCACCUCGUGGGGCUCGUGGAGCGACCCUUACGAGGGUCCCGACACCCUCUGGUCGAAGGGACUCACCUUCUCGGAGCCGUGCCACCAUGGUGCGCUCGCGGUCAGGUGCGACUAUUUCGAGUGCGAGAAUCAGACGGAAGUGCUGUUCCGCAUUGAGCGCGAGGCAACGGGCCAGCAGGCGCAGAACGACGUCUGGCCCUACCUGGCCCUGCUGCACGGCAACGACUCGGCGACCGCCUGCCACGGAGAGAUCGUGAGCCCGCUCUGGGUCUUGACCACCGCCUACUGUCUGCAGCAGCUUCCGCAGAACGCCUCGCAGCUGUACGUGCAGGCUGGCUUCGCGCGGCCUGCCAGCGCCCGCGAGCACCACCGCGUCGUGCGCGUGGUGCUGCACCCGCACUACUCGCAGUUCCGCUCCAGGACGCUGCCCGACUACGACCUGGCGCUCGUGAGGCUCGCCGAGCCGCUGUCCUUCGCCAACCACGUGGCCUCGGCCGUCUGCCUGCCCGACGACGUGGCCCGACCGGGCGUCACCUGCUUCGUCGGUAGCUUGGGAAACGGAAUGCCCCGAGUUCCAUUCACGACGGCGUCGUCGAUCAUCCACCUGCCAAUCGUCAUAAACGAGCUGACCACGUGCAACAACGAAGAGCACUAUAAAAACGAUGUCACCCAGAAAAUGAUCUGUGGAGACGGACGCCAAAUGAAGCGUCAGCUGUGCGAUGGUGAUCUCGGAGCUCCCUUGAUGUGCCUCUCGCCCAACAACAUCUGGCGCUUGGCCGGCGUGCUCAGCUACCAGCGGCACUGCGGCACCUACCAGAAGCACCCGUCCGUGUUCUCCAACAUCUACGAGAUGCGGGACUUCAUCCACAACGUGACCGGCCUGCUCUCCUACAACGUCACCCACGACCCGCAGCUGUACACGCUGCUCGAGUUCCCCCAGGCCGACGACGGCAACGUCUCGGCCGCCGUCCGCUCGCUCGCCGCCGGCAAGAUGGCCGGCCUCGAACACAACGCGUCGGCCGUGGCAGCCGCGCUCUAUUCGCACGAGAACAUCCUCGGCGAGCACGGGGAGAACGCCAGCGCAGCAACGACGACGGCGGCGGCGUCGACGAGCGCGGGGCACGACGUCAUGUACCUCGACUUGGAGGGCGUCAUCCCCAAGGUGAACCACACGAAGGACUCGAUCCUCGACUCGGAAGGAGAAGUUAACGUCACGGAGACGACCACCGUGGAGACUCCGACGACGCACAGCGGCGCGGGUGUGGAAGCCAGGCUUCAAGAGGUCGACCACGCGGGUGUCCACGCGACGACCACGACGAUGACAACGACGACUGCGAACGCUACCGAUGGCCCGACGGUCGUCGCCACCACGACGGUUGACCCUCACGAGAGCAUGGCCUCUUUGAGGCUCAUGGACGCCGACUCGGGCGACGUCUCGCCUCCGAGCGAGACUAGCCGCGAUGCCCCCGCGUCCUCUGUUCAGCAUGCUCACCAUGACGACCACGAAGACCGGCACCAACACCACACCGCGCCAGCGAACGAUACCAGAACAGAAGGCCGGGGCCGAUCUGCGCUCUUGGCCAAUCGGACAGUGGUCGGCGAACAGUUGCAAGCGUUUAUCGAGCGUAACAGCGCCGAAGAAACGAUGACAACUGAGCCGGGUUCGGUGGAGAACGGGACUGCACUUGCAGGAACUGCGACAGCUACGGAAAGAACGACCGGAACGUCCGACGAGGUCGACCGCGCCACUACGCACGACAACGCGCGAUCGCCGCUCGAGACUUCAACGGCCGCGACGAACGCUUCCAGCGCGGAAACGACCACGAUACUGACGGUGACAAGCCCGCGGCACGAUGGCCAUGCCUCCACGUCGAUGCUGGAAAAUGGCACGACGACGGUGGCGCCUGAAAGCUUGUCAACACUGCCAGCCGCAGGAGAUCCUACUGUCGACGAUUCACGCCGUGCCACGACCGAGGCUGCAAUCGUUGCGGCGCCGGCAGUACAGAAGAACGAGACACUGCACAUCGCAUCUCAUAAUUCGACCUGCCUAGGAUUCAGCUGCAACUCUGAUGGUGUGUGCAUUGACCAGUCCGGCGUUUGUGACGGCAAUUACGACUGCAAAGAUGCCAGCGACGAAAUUAACUGCGUCCAACUCAAGGAUGCAGUUGUACACGGGAGAAAAGAAGGAGCCGGUUGGAUGCCUGCUUGCGGGGACACCUGGGACGAUGCACUCAGUGACAAUGCCUGUCGAGAAAUGGGCUUCGAGUAAGCUUCGGAGACCAGCAUUAUUGCGCUCGAGUCACCGUACGCGAUGUCCCUUCGUCAUAGCAACAAGUCACAUGAGCAAGCGAGCAUACUGCAGUCACUGACACUCAGCAAUGAAACGUGCAAUACCAAGGUCACAAUGAAGUGCCA
rnacentral:misc_RNA from 1 species